GUUUAAUUUAAUAAUUACUAAAACCAGUAGUUCGAAAGAUAUAUUUAAAAAUAAAAGAUAAAAUUCCAAAAAAUUAAUUAUCUAUUAACGUGGAUUUGGACGACAAUAGGUUUUUAGUUUGUGAUGUUUCAUGUGAUGAUCAUCAUGUUCAUCGUCUUUGAAUUGACAUGAGGAUAUCUAUGGAAAAGUAACUAAUCUGAAAGUAAGCCAACAUAUCGUUUGUCCAUUGUGUGCUAACGAAAAGAUUUUCUUUUCGCAUCAUGAGGAAGUAUUACAUCAAUUGAAAAUUUUAGGAAGUUGAUCAUUUGUCAUGGAAAAGUAUACCAAUGGAAAUUGCUUGCAAUAGAAGUAAUUCUAAGGGCAAAUUUUAUUAUAAUUAGUGACCUGUCUACUGCUACCUUUUAUACGUAGAUGUUUCAGGUUUUAAGAAUAAAUUGGUUGAACCCAAAAUCUGGAGGAAGUACCUAUAUCCAUACACACAAUAUAUCAUUAAAAAUACUAGUCCAAAUUUGCUUUAAUGGAACGAUUAGGGCCCUAUAUAUUUGAAACUCAUGUUGGACAUAGUAUUGAGUUGGGUAGAAUAUUAUUCUACGUUAAGUGAGGGUAUCAGAUACCUAUUAUUGUACUGUAUUUUAAUAUAUACAUUAGAAUUGUUGGUUUUUUCAUAUUUGUUUUAUUUAUUAUUUUACUUACAAGUUAUAUAAAGUUAACACUAAAAUCUACUUUUUGACUUAUAUAAGUUAGUCUGUGGUUUAAUGCGUGAUUACAUCCACAUGAUUUCAAGUUUUUAAAAUAUAAAUAUUAUAACUGGCUUUAAAAACUCCAUUAAACUGUUAAAAGUGUAAUUUAUUUCAAAAUAAAUAUACAUAUAUAGGUAUAUAUUAAUAUCGAAAAACAUUUUUAUUCCUUAACACCAAUUUAAUCAUCACAUACAUAUGUAUAAACAUUUAUUUACGUUAUUUCAAAUGAAGACCACAGGAAAAACCAGCUUUGUUCAUUUUAACUGGAGCCGAGAAAAUGCAAUUACGAGUGAACUACUCUGGUUUUUCUCCUGUAGGG